rnacentral:lncRNA from 1 species
AUUGGGUGGUCUUUGCCGGUUGGGGAUAUUUCGCAAGCAUAUUCACGUUGCUAUUUGAAAAUUGUUUGCGUUGUAGAUUCCUUCGUGGAUUGUAAGGGUUUAAUUUUUUAAAUUUGAUUUGAGAACCUGAAAAUAUUCUUUUAAUUAAAUUUUAUCAUAAAAUAUGCAAGGAAUAAGUUUAUAUAAGGUUUCAACCUUAUACAGUAGAAACAAGUUGCACCUUGGGAAUUCAGUGAAAAAUUGGAAAACGUUCCAAUUUAUUAGUUUGACCUCGAGAUGUAUCAAUUUGAAGAAAAAACAGGAAUUUAAAGUCUUAAAAAUAAUGCACAAUUAUUUUCAAGAUUUUGAAGUGUAUAAACAUAUGGUCGAUAUGUAUUAUUUUUGGAAUUUUAAAUUUUAUAAUUGAGGUUGAACCUGAAUUUUCAAGUUAUUGUAUGGUUUUUGACACUGGAACUACGUCUUUUGUUGAAGUUUAGAUGUGAGCCUUACUUUUAUAGUAUAAGAUGGGCAACCUAUACAAACCUUAUCUAGUAAAUAAAUGCUAUAAAACCACAAAAGCACGAGACUUUGGAUUGGAAAUUAGUGGGAACUGAUCUAGUUCUCAUUUGGAAUGAAGAAUUGGUUGUUCCUCACAAAACUGACUAGUUAUGUCCGAGAACAAUCAAAUAAGUUGGGUGGUUUCCAUAUUUUUUAUUUUUGUAAUUUUUGACUUUUUUAAUUUAUAAAUUUUAUUUUUUUAUUGUCCGAUUCUCUCCUCCGGAUAACCAAUUCUUAAUUCGAACCAGUUUCCUAGAUGACCAGCUUGCCCGACCGAUCCAAUUUUUUAAGCGUUGCUUCGAGCAUACAGUGCCCGGACCAGUCAGAUUCUUCGAGAUAGGAGAGGAGAAGGGCCACUGUCGUCUAAGGUAAAGACAGUGACGAGCAGACAGGAGGACAG